ACUAAAUAGAUACCCAGGUAGUCCACGCCCUAAACGAUGUCUACUAGUUGUUGGUGGAGUAAAAUCCAUGAGUAAACGCAGCUAAACGCGUGAAGUAGACCGCCUGGGGAGUACGGUCGCAAGAUUAAAACUCAAAGGAAUUGACGGGGCCCGGCACAAGCGGUGGAUUAUGUGGAUUAAAUUCGAUGCAACGACGAAAACCUUAACCUUGGCCGUUGACAUGCCACUAACGAAGCAGAGAUGCAUUAGGUGCCCGUAACGGGAAAGGUGGACACAGGUGCUGCAUGGCUGUCGUCAGCUCGUGUCGUGAGAUGUUGGGUUAAGUCCCGCAACGAGCGCAACCCUUGCCAUUAAUUGCCAUCAUUU
rnacentral:rRNA from 1 species